CUGAAUCCAUUCCGAACUCAGAAGUAAAACGCAGUAACGCCGAUGGUAGUGUGGGGGCUCCCCAUGUGAGAGUAGGUCAUCGCCAGAG
rnacentral:rRNA from 1 species